rnacentral:lncRNA from 1 species
GCUGGUCUCGAACUCUUGACCUCAGGUGAUCUGCCUGCCUCGGCCGCCCAAAGUGCUGGGAUUACAGGUAUGAGCCACCUCACCCGUCCCACUGUUGCCAUUUGGAGGUCAUCAGGGGUCUCUACUGCAUAGAAAUUAGUUGGCAGCCUUGGCACUCAAAGUGCUCGGCCAGGGCCAUUUAAUAUAGAAGGACCUGGGAGUUUUGGGUUCUUUGACAAUGCAUAUUUCAGUGGUUUAAGAAUUUGGCACAGGUGGCUGGGCAUGGCGGCUCACAUCUCUGAGUGACCUGGGUUCAAAUUCUAGCUGUUAUUCAGCAUGGGAUUCAAAAGUAGGGACAUAACCCCACCUCCUCACUGGUGAGGUGGGAGCAGAGAAUGACAUCCUGGCACACACUGUGCCUUGGAGGGGGCCUCCCUGAGCAUCUCAGAGGGGGCUCAUGAUGGAUCUGGCACUCAUGGGUUGGGUGCUGUGGGGUGAGGUAGGGAAAGCCCAGCUGAGCUUGGGACCAACCCUGGGCUUCGUGGGAAUCUGAAGUCCCUUUCCUAGGGGCCUCUCUGGUCCCUCGGGGCCUGUAUGUGCCAUCUCCAAGCUGUGUUUACCAUGGGCCAGAUCACAACCUGUCUGAAUCAGUGUUCUCACAUAAAAAUCAGAAAGACUGAUCCCAGCACUUUGGGAGGCCAAAGCAGGCGGAUCAUGAGGUCAGGAGUUCAAGACCAGCCUGGCCAAUAUGGUGAAAUCCCAUCUCUAUUAAAAUACAAAAAAUUAGCCAGACAUGGUGGUGCAUGCCUGUAGUCCCAGCUACUUGGGAGGCUGAGGCAGAAGAAUCGCUUGAACCUGGAGGGGGCGGAGGUUGCAGUGAGCUGAGAUCAUGUGAGACUCUGUCUCAAAAAAAAAAAAAAAAAAAAAAGGCCAGGCAUGGCGGCUCACGCCUAUAGUCCCAGCACUUUGAGAGGCUGAGGCGGGCGGCUCACCUGAGGUCAGGAGUUCGAGACCAGCCUGGCCAACAUGGUGAAACCCCAUCUCUACUAAAAAUAAAAAAUUUAGCUGGGUGUGGUGGCAUAUCCCUGUAAUCCCAGCUACCCGGGAGGCUGAUGCAGGAGAAUCACUUGAACCUGGGAGGCAGAGGUUGCAGUGAGCUGAGAUCACGUCAUUGCAGUCCAGCCUGGGAAACAGAGCAAGACUCCGUCUCAAAAAAAAAAAAAAAAAAAAGCCCAGCACAGUGGCUCAUGCCUGUAAUCCCAGCACUUUGAGAGGCCGAGGCGGGUGGAUCACAAGGUCGGGAGUUCAAGAUAAGCCUGGCCAAGAUGGUGAAACCCCAUCUCUAACAAAAAUACAAAAAUUAGCCGGGCACGGUGGCAGGUGCCUGUAAUCGCAACUACUUGGGAGGCUGAGGCAGGAGAAUCGCUUGAAACCCGGG